rnacentral:ncRNA from 2 species
CAAGCCAGAAGAGGCGCGUCGCCCAGGUAGUGUGUUAGAGGAGCCGUUUCCGCUGAAAACACAUGAUGGGGAGCGACGCCGAGGCGGAACAACACGCGGCGUGUUGUUCUGUCGACCACAGGGGCUGAAUCCUCUGGGUUGUCACCAGAAACGUGCGGCAGUCGGGCGUUUCGCAAGGUGGGGCGCUUCUGGGUGA